rnacentral:rRNA from 1 species
AUUGAACGCUGGCGGCAUGCCUUACACAUGCAAGUCGAACGGUAACGCGGGGCAACCUGGCGACGAGUGGCGAACGGGUGAGUAAUGCAUCGGAACGUGCCCAGUUGUGGGGGAUAACUGCUCGAAAGAGCAGCUAAUACCGCAUACGACCUGAGGGUGAAAGCGGGGGAUCGCAAGACCUCGCGCAAUUGGAGCGGCCGAUGUCGGAUUAGCGAGUUGGUGGGGUAAAGGCCCACCAAGGCGACGAUCCUUAGCUGGUCUUAGAGGACGACCAGCCACACUGGGACUGAGACACGGCCCAGACUCCUACGGGAGGCAGCAGUGGGGAAUUUUGGACAAUGGACGCAAGUCUGAUCCAGCAAUGCCGCGUGCGGGAAAGAGGCCUUCGGGUUGUAACCGCUUUUGUCAGGGAAGAAAUCUUCUGGGUUAAUACCUCGGGAGGAUGACGGUACCUGAAGAAUAAGCACCGGCUAACUACGUGCCAGCCGCCGCCGUAAGAC